UUUAUAUUUCAUUUCUUUUCCAGAAACAAGACUCACCUGCAGUUUCUGUACCACAGUCACCACAGUCUGUAUCCACAACAUCAAACAAAAAUUGGCCUUUAUUUCUCUGUUGCUGAUGUAUAUGGAGAGGCUCUCAUGGACUUCAAAGGAAUUAGAAUUUGGGCCUUUUGAAAGUGUGUCUUCAGUAAUGACCUUUUCCUACAGCCUGAAGACACAGUGAAUGGUUCCUGGUUUCUUUCCUUCCACAUGUCCCAAAUCAGUGUUUGAAUGAGCCUGAACGAUGAUGAAAUGCCUCCCAGGAGAGUCGGCAGCUUCCCGAAGAUUGAAGCCUGCCUGGCUCCAUCCUCUUCCAUUUCAGUGCCGCAGAUGAGGGACUGGAUGGAUGGCACUCGUAUGUGCCCAUUGUCCAAGUACUGAGACGAAGUCGUAGUAAUGAGGAUGCUGGAGGUGAAUCUUAGAUAAAUUCUUAAUGGAGAAAUGGCAGGAGAACAGCCCUCUCUGCGCAGAGGUUUCAGCUAAGAGAGAGAAAUAUCUCAGUUCCCUGUCUGAACCAUCCAACAAGGGAAGAUGCUGCCUAGCC
rnacentral:lncRNA from 1 species